rnacentral:lncRNA from 1 species
UCCCACAUUGAAAAGAGACAAAAUUAUCAAUACAUUAUAAGCCAUUUAUAACCCUAUCUUCUUAUAUGGGGAUGUGCAUUUUAUACUUCACACAUGCACGUCGGCUCGAUCCAGCUCGACUCACACACACGAGAUGAUAUAUAUUUCAUUAUUUUAUUUUUUAUUAUAUUUUAUUUUAUCUUUUAUUUUAUCAUAGUUUAUAUUUUUUAACUAUUUCUUUGUUGACCGAUCACUUUCCUUUGUGGUC